rnacentral:rRNA from 1 species
GACAGAGGUGCCGAGCGUUAGGCGGAAUCACUGGGCUUAAAGCGUGUGUAGGCGGAUCUGUAAGUACCUUGUGAAAUCCCACGGCUCAACCGUGGAACUGCUUGGUAUACUGCGGGUCUUGAGCCACCUAGGGGCAAGUGGAACAAACGGUGGAGCGGUGAAAUGCGUAGAUAUCGUUUGGAACGCCAAUGGUGAAAACAACUCGCUGGGGGUGCACUGACACUGAGACACGAAAGCCAGGGGAGCGAACGGG